rnacentral:ribozyme from 14 species
CACACAUACAUACACAUUGUGUGGAUGAAGUAACAACAAAAGGUUGGAUUUUAAAGCGGAAAACAAAUAUGGCGUGUACUUUUUUUCUUUUCUUUUUCUUUU